rnacentral:tmRNA from 1 species
GGGGCUGAUUUGGUUUCGACGGGAAUAAUAGAGCAUAGAUGGCAAGUCGAAUGUCCACGUCACGGGCACAAAAAAAUAAAUGCUAAAAAAUUAAGUAACGUUGUAGCUAGUAUGUUUGGUACUCGCCAAGCUGUAGCUUUUGCCUAAUAAUAGUAAAUAGAAAGAAUUUUAAGACUGGUAUAUCUACUUGGUCGUUAAUUACUUGGUAGGUAUAUGAGAUAAGAUAGUUAACUAAACUUGUAGAGGUUUAUGUAGCUUUAUUUUCGGACAGGAGUUCAAUUCUCCUCAGCUCCACCA